UAGGGAAUCUUCGGCAAUGGACGAAAGUCUGACCGAGCAACGCCGCGUGAGUGAAGAAGGUUUUCGGAUCGUAAAACUCUGUUGGUAGAGAAGAACGUUGGUGAGAGUGGAAAGCUCAUCAAGUGACGGUAACUACCCAGAAAGGGACGGCUAACUACGUGCCAGCAGCCGCGGUAAUACGUAGGUCCCGAGCGUUGUCCGGAUUUAUUGGGCGUAAAGCGAGCGCAGGUGGUGUAUUAAGUCUGGUGUAAAAGGCAGUGGCUCAACCAUUGUAUGCAUUGGAAACUUGUAGACUUGAGUGCAGGAGAGGAGAGUGGAAUUCCAUGUGUAGCGGUGAAAUGCGUAGAUAUAUGGAGGAACACCGGUGGCGAAAGCGGCUCUCUGGCCUGUAACUGACACUGAGGCUCGAAAGCGUGGGGAGCAAACA
rnacentral:rRNA from 1 species